AUUGAACGCUGGCGGCAGGCCUAACACAUGCAAGUCGAACGAGUGGCGGACGGGUGAGUAAUGUCUGGGAAACUGCCUGAUGGAGGGGGAUAACUAUUGGAAACGGUAGCUAAUACCGCAUACCAUCGGAUGUGCCCAGAUGGGAUUAGCUAGUAGGUGGGGUAAAGGCUAACAUGGGCUACGAUCCCUAGCUGGCCUGAGCGGAGGACCUGCCACACUGGAACUGAGACACGGUCCAGACUCCUACGGGAGUCAUCAGUGGGGAAUAUUGCACAAGGGGGGCAAGCCUGAUGCAGCCAUGCCGCGGGUAGGAAGAAGGCCUUCGGGUUGUAAAGUACUUUCAGCGGGGAGGCGUUACCCGCAGAAGAAGCACCGGCUAACUCCGUGCCAGCAGCCGCGGUAAUUC
rnacentral:rRNA from 1 species